GUGAAUCAUCAAAUUUUUGAACGCAAAUUGCACUCUCCUCGGAGAGUAUGCCUGUUUGAGGGUCUGCCUAUAAAAAAUCGACAUCGUUGCUGUUUCGCGGUGACGUUCGUCGGAAAUUGGGUCAUCUUAAAUCCUUUUGGUUUUAAGCGGCUUAAAAUUUUCUUUUUGGUUCCAUGAACGUUUCUAAGAUUUAUUUCUUUACACGUCUAAGGGUAUCGAUUUUUAUUAGACGUGGCCGUCAUAUCGGAUCGCGUCCAUAAUUUUUCGCUAACUGACCUCAGACAGGUAAGAGUACCCG
rnacentral:misc_RNA from 1 species